rnacentral:rRNA from 1 species
CCCGCUGAACUUAAGCAUAUCAAUAAGCGGAGGAAAAGAAACUAACAAGGAUUCCCCUAGUAACUGCGAGUGAAGCGGGAAGAGCUCAAAUUUGAAAUCUGGCGGGUACCCCGUCCGAGUUGUAAUCUGGAGAAGCGUUUUCCGCGCUGGACCGUGUACAAGUCCCUUGGAACAGGGCGUCAUAGAGGGUGAGAAUCCCGUCUACGACACGGACCGCCAGUGCUGUGCGAUGCGCUCUCGAAGAGUCGAGUUGUUUGGGAAUGCAGCUCAAAACGGGUGGUAAAUUCCAUCUAAAGCUAAAUAUUGGCGAGAGACCGAUAGCGAACAAGUACCGUGAGGGAAAGAUGAAAAGCACUUUGGAAAGAGAGUUAAACAGUACGUGAAAUUGCUGAAAGGGAAACGCUUGAAGUCAGUCACGUCUGCCAGGACUCAGCCUUGCUUCUGCUUGGUGUACUUUCUGGUUGGAUGGGCCAACAUCAAUUUCGACCGUUGGAGAAAGGCUUUGGGAAUGUGGCACCUUCGGGUGUGUUAUAGCCCUUUGUUGUAUACAACGGUUGGGAUUGAGGACUGCAGCAUGCCUUCAUGGCCGGGGUUCGCCCACGUACAUGCUUAGGAUGUUGGCAUAAUGGCUUUAAGCGACCCGUCUUGAAACACGG